rnacentral:rRNA from 1 species
CUACGGGUCGCUCCAGUAAGGAAUAUUGCGCAAUGGAGGCAACUCUGACGCAGCCAUGCCGCGUGCAGGAAGAAGGCCUUAUGGGUCGUAAACUGCUUUUAUUUAGGAAUAAACCCCCGAACGUGUUCGGGGCUGAAGGUACUAAACGAAUAAGCACCGGCUAACUCCGUGCCAGCAGCCGCGGUAAUACGGAGGGUGCAAGCGUUAUCCGGAUUUAUUGGGUUUAAAGGGUGCGCAGGCGGGCUAUUAAGUCAGUGGUGAAAUCCCGGGGCUCAACUCCGGAACUGCCAGUGAUACUGAUAGUCUUGAGUUUGGUUGAAGUGGGCGGAAUGUAGCAUGUAGCGGUGAAAUGCAUAGAUAUGCUACAGAACACCAAUCGCGAAGGCAGCUCACUAAGCCAAAACUGACGCUCAUGCACGAAAGCGUGGGGAUCAAACAGGAUUAGAUACCCCAGUAGUC